rnacentral:rRNA from 1 species
CCUACGGGGGACUGCAGUCGAGAAUCAUUCACAAUGGGGGAAACCCUGAUGGUGCGACGCCGCGUGGGGGAAUGAAGGUCUUCGGAUUGUAAACCCCUGUCAUGUGGGAGCAAAUUAAAAAGAUAGUACCACAAGAGGAAGAGACGGCUAACUCUGUGCCAGCAGCCGCGGUAAUACAGAGGUCUCAAGCGUUGUUCGGAAUCACUGGGCGUAAAGCGUGCGUAGGCUGUUUCGUAAGUCGUGUGUGAAAGGCGCGGGCUCAACCCGCGGACGGCACAUGAUACUGCGAGACUAGAGUAAGGGAGGGGGAACCGGAAUUCUCGGUGUAGCAGUGAAAUGCGUAGAUAUCGAGAGGAACACUCGUGGCGAAGGCGGGUUCCUGGACAUUAACUGACGCUGAGGCACGAAGGCCAGGGGAGCGAAAGGGAUUAGAUACCCCUGUAGUC